GACCCAGAAUGUAAAUAAGAAGCAAAAGAAAGAGACAGAUUUGGAGAAGUCAGCACCUUCAUACUCGCAUCCAUCUUUUUUAUCUUUUUUG
rnacentral:ribozyme from 13 species